rnacentral:misc_RNA from 1 species
AACGCACAUUGCGCCCUGUGGUAUUCCGCAGGGCAUGCCUGUUCGAGCGUCAUUAUAGCCACUCAAGCCUCGCUUGGUGUUGGGGCUCGCAAUCUUGCGGCCUCUAAAAUCAGUGGCGGUGCCGGUAGGCUCUGAGCGUAGUACAUCUCCUCGCUAUAGAGUCCUGUCGGUCCCCUGCCAAAACCCCCAUAUUUUAUAGGUUGACCUCGGAUCAGGUAGGGAUACCCGCUGAACUUAA